UUGCAAUAUACCUUCUGUUUCUUGCUCACAUGAUUGAUGUGAUUUUGAAUUCAUUUAGCACAUUGCUUUCUGAGAAGCCAUUUGUAGUGCAAGGAUGAAACUUGGUCAGAGUGUUUACCAUAUGGAUUGGCAGUGAAACCAAAAAAGAAGGCGCGCUUCUGUUCUUCCGUAUUCAUGUCAAUGCAACAACAGGUCGCUUAAAUUGAAAUUGAUGUCUACAAAGUGCUUCCCAUUUCAUUAUUAGAUUACUGAUAUAGCUAUGCCUGGUGAGUGGAGAUAAGUGGAGGUGGCACUACCAAUUCCUUGAUGUACCAGGAAUGUUUGGAUUGUUGUAUUCUGACAUUGUUUGGUUCAACAUAUUCAAGGUAUGUUCCAAGGCUAUCUUAGAAAAAAUUCCUGCAAAUAUUGCAUUUUGAUUCAUCUUGUUGCCCUUUUUGUUUUCGGUUUGGACCAUACUGUGA